GCCUAACACAUGCAAGUCGAGCGGCAGCGCGAUAUGUAGCAAUACAUAUUGGCGGCGAGCGGCGGACGGGUGAGGAACACGUAGGAACCUACCCUCGAGUGGGGGAUAACCAAGGGAAACUUUGGCUAAUACCGCAUGAUUUCGAGAGAGCAAAGCUGCCGCAAGGUGGCGCUCGAGGAGGGGCCUGCGUCCGAUUAGCUAGUUGGUGAGGUAAGAGCUCACCAAGGCGAUGAUCGGUAACUGGUCUGAGAGGACGACCAGUCACACUGGGACAGCGACAGGGACCAGACUCCUACGGGAGGCAGCAGUGGGGAAUAUUGGACAAUGGGGGCAACCCUGAUUCAGCGAUGCCGCGUGAGUGAAGAAGGCCUUCGGGUCGUAAAGCUCUUUAGGUUGGGAAGAAGAGUGAUGGAGGAAAUGCUAUCACUUUGACGGUACCGACAGAAUAAGCACCGGCAAACUCUGUGCCAGCAGCCGCGGUAA
rnacentral:rRNA from 1 species